rnacentral:rRNA from 1 species
UACAGAGGGUGCAAGCGUUGUUCGGAAUUAUUGGGCGUAAAGAGCGUGUAGGCGGCCAUGUAGGUCCGGUGUGAAAACUCGAGGCUUAACCUCGAGAUGUCAUCGGAAACCAUUUGGCUAGAGUCCGGAAGAGGAGAGUGGAAUUCCUGGUGUAGCGGUGAAAUGCGCAGAUAUCAGGAAGAACACCAAUGGCGAAAAGCAGCUCUCUGGGACGGUACUGACGCUGAGACGCGAAAGCGUGGGGAGCGAACAGG